rnacentral:lncRNA from 1 species
CACGUGGAGUGUUAGAAGAAUUUGGAAAUUGAAACAUCAAAAUCGGGUUUAAUUAGUCAUAAUCACAUGGGUGGCCGGUCUUAAUUAGAUUUGAUUAAUUUAGUAAUGACAUGGAAAUUUUUUCAUAAUGUAAUAAUAAUCCUUUUUCAGUUGAAACUUUGCUUUUUGUCAAAAGUCGUAGCUGAGAAAUUUCUCUCCACACACUUUUUUAUUCUUUUUCCCU